AUGGAGAUGGAGAGCGCUCACCGCGACGACGACCUCUCGCCGGAGGCGGCGAGGAUGCUCCGCGAGAUGGCGCUGCGGGGUCGCGAGGAGGGAGUGGAGCCCGAUCUGUCGGACGAGCAGCUGCGCUCCAACGACCAGCUCCAGCAAGACGAGAUGUUAGCUCUGGAGGCAAUUUUUGGAGACAAGAUCUGCAUUUUUGGUGAAAAGGCUGGACCGCGAUCUUUCCAGAUUCAGGUGCAUUGUGAAAUUCCAGAUGGCAUCAGUGUAUCCGUAGAACCAUUCCAGGGUGUUGAUGAUGAUGACCCAAAGAGCCAGUUCCUUGAAAACUUCAGUGUCUCCUCCCUUUGUCACAUGCUCGACUCGAUGUGGGCGCAACAAGCUGAACAGGAAGUUGUUUAUGAGUGGGUGCAUUGGCUGCAGAGCUCUAUGCUUUCUCAUCUUGGUUUUGACAACGGAAUAGUCAUACGACAGCCUCAUACUGCGGUUGGUCCUGUGGAUCUUCGGGUUGUGGGAGAGAUUUUGUCUGCAGAGUCUGUCGUUCAACAGUUGAUCGGCUACAAUGAGGAGCAAUGCCAUGAAUCCUUUCUCCACGGGCUUCAUGCCUGCAUGAUUUGCUUCAGCGAGUACCCAGCUUGCCUGUUAGACAAGGAUAAAGCCGGAUGCUCCAAUUGCCUCUUUAACUUCUGCACCCGCUGCAGAGAGCCUUGUCACACAGGGAGGAGCUGUGUUAUUCUUACUCCAGAAGAAAAACUUCUCACCUUACAGGAACAGUCAAGGGUGCGCCAAUGGAGCAAAGGCGACAUUGACAGACGAAUCAACUUGGCAAAUGAAAUAUUUAGCAUCAAGGAAGUCCUCCGUUCUUCCGUUCCAUGUCCUCAUUGUGGUAUUGCCUUCAUACGUGUGUCUGGCUGCAACCACAUGUUUUGCAGAAACUGUCACCGUGAAUUCAACUACUUAAAUGCUAGGAGGACAGAGACUGUAAGGGCACUUGAUUUCAUUACAGUGAAUGCGGUGCAGAUUGAACGAAAAGUACUGAGCCUAUCCGUCAGCUCCAGACAGUAUCCAUGCCCAAAAUGCCACCGACCAUAUCCCAAGAUGGGAAACAACAACCACAUCUUGUGCCUGGCAUGUCAGGUUCAUUACUGUGCUCUGUGUCGGAAGGUGGUGCGGAAGAUCUCAGAGCACUAUGGCCCCAGAGGAUGCAAGCAGCACACUGUCGACCCUGAGAUUGUUAGAACAAAGAACAAGGAUGACUCGGGAUCAGAACUUCUGUGA
rnacentral:rRNA from 1 species